UACGGGGGGGGCAAGCGUUGUUCGGAAUUACUGGGCGUAAAGGGCUCGUAGGCGGCGCACUAAGUCGGAUGUGAAAUCCCCAGGCUCAACCUGGGAACUGUAUCCGAGACUGGAUGGCUUGAAUUCGGGAGAGGGAUGCAGAAUUCCAGGUGUAGCGGUGAAAUGCGUAGAUAUCUGGAGGAAUACCGAUGGCGAAGGCGGCAUCCUGGACCGACAUUGACGCUGAGGAGCGAAAGCCAGGGGAGCAAACGGG
rnacentral:rRNA from 1 species